ensembl:lncRNA
AGUCGUUCCCCUUUACCGAUCGGGGUUCUGACGGAGAGGGAGAGGCUUGCUCCGACAUCUGGAACCAAGAGUCACAAUCCUAACACCUGUCAGUAGCCGGAGGACGUCUGAUUACCUUUUAGGAAAACAGCUUGAACCAAACUGAGCUGGACGCAGCUAACAUCCACUACCGCAUCUGCCGAUGUUUGCGGGCGUCUGAUUGAUCGACGCCAUGCCAGGAGGCCGGUAUCAUCUUCCUUCUCUCCGAGCGGGUCUUCGUCCUGCGAGCUAUCUCUGUUCUACACAAGCCUUUCCCACGGAGAUAUCCACGACCAGCCGACAGCAGCGUUGGCUUCACCUGCAGCCACACAGAAGCCCCAUAAUGUGUUUGAUACAAGGUGUAAGGCACAAGGGUAAUUUGUCCGUGACAGGCGCUGUGUAAUUCGGUUGGAAUGGGAAGGAGGGGGGGGGAAGGUUUUGUGGUUUGUUAUGCUGUCAAUUGCUCCCUCGGUAUUCAGUGGAAUUCAAUGAAGCGUUUGAAAGCAUUUUGUUUUUCAUCUGGAAACAUCCAUGUGUCACAAGCCGGUGCAGUGGUUUCCUGUCGAGAACGUUCCACAGACGCAGGGAAAUUGAACUUUCACCGGUGGUGUAGUGCAUUUACUCUAUAUGUUAUCCCUAUGGAAUGAUCGCCAAGCGCAA